GAGUAUUCAGCUUAGUGGUCUUAGUUUUGCAAAAACUAUUGAGAAAAAAUUUUCAUUACU
rnacentral:tRNA from 1 species